rnacentral:rRNA from 1 species
CACUCCUACGGGAGGCAGCAGUGGGGAAUUUUGGACAAUGGGCGAAAGCCUGAUCCAGCAAUGCCGCGUGAGUGAAGAAGGCCUUCGGGUUGUAAAGCUCUUUUGUCAGGGAAGAAACGGUGAGAGCUAAUAUCUCUUGCUAAUGACGGUACCUGAAGAAUAAGCACCGGCUAACUACGUGCCAGCAGCCGCGGUAAUACGUAGGGUGCAAGCGUUAAUCGGAAUUACUGGGCGUAAAGCGUGCGCAGGCGGUUUUGUAAGUCUGAUGUGAAAUCCCCGGGCUCAACCUGGGAAUUGCAUUGGAGACUGCAAGGCUAGAAUCUGGCAGAGGGGGGUAGAAUUCCACGUGUAGCAGUGAAAUGCGUAGAUAUGUGGAGGAACACCGAUGGCGAAGGCAGCCCCCUGGGUCAAGAUUGACGCUCAUGCACGAAAGCGUGGGGAGCAAACAGGAUUAGAUACCCGUGUAGUCC